rnacentral:lncRNA from 1 species
AUCUAUACUUACGCUCUAUAUAUGCAUACAUUUUGUUUGUGUCUCUCUCAAAGCUAAGAUCUAUAGACUCUAGUUUCUGUAGGACCAAGGAUCUUGUUUUGAGCAUGUUUUGAUUUUUAUUUUUUUUGUUGGUUCUAUCUUUUCUCAAUCAUUUAGAGUAUAUUCCAUUGUCUGAAGUAUUUAACAAAAAUCCAUAUGUAUACAUAUUUUUAAAAUCGAUUUUUGGAAACAUAUAAUUAGACUUAUGUAAUCAAUGAUCUAUGCGAUUAUUAUAUUUUGUAGAACCUUCAACCAGAUUCUAUUGUAUUUUGUAGAACCCUCAACCAGAUUCUAUUGAUAUGAUGAUAUGAUCAUAAUGGAAUAUGUAAACCCAUUAAAGCCAAGGAUUUUCCUGAUUACUUUUUAAUCAUGA